rnacentral:lncRNA from 1 species
AUAACCUUGCAGCUGUGAGAAACGAAGGGAGGAAAGAAGAUAAAGCAGAAGCAGCGAGGUUUGGGGAGGGAGGCGUUGGUCCCUGGGGAUGCUCUCUGGCCACUGGGACCUAGACUCUGUUGAGAGGCGCCGGCGACUCUUUCCAUAAACCUGGGCAGACCCCUGAGCCACACCUGUCUGGAAGAUUUGAAGAUGCAAAGAAAGAGGGUGGGUGGCUAUUCAUUAAUGGAGCCUUUACUUUGCAGAAGUGCUCUCUCUCCUCUUCUGGCUUCCACAACUGUUCUGAGCUAUCUUGGUUUUCCUUGACCCCGAAGUCUCCUUUUGCAUCCUUUUCUUCCCCGCCCUCAGACUCCGUCCUCCAGAGCUCCUCCCUCAGCCCAGUCCUCAUCACUGGCUCUGUCUGCCCGUGCGAUCCCAUUUGCGCCCAUCGCUUCGACCGUUGCGAGUCUACAUCUGGAGCCUUUACGUCUCUCGGGAACUCCAGGAGCCGUGGUGCUGGCCAAGCAGCAUUGAGGAAGAAGAAGAAUGAGGGAGAAGGGAGAGCUGCCUGGGAGGCUGCGGGGACCCCUCACAGCCGUUCCUUGAGACCAGAGCUGCUCCUGCUUUGGCCAGUUUCACAACUGCCUGGGAACUUGGUUAUUCUCACCAAGCCUAGGACUAUCCUCCUCGGCAAGCGGGCCCUCUGUGUCCAUGGUGAGCUCUCCAGAGGAUGUGACACACACCGAAGUGAGAACCGUUGUCCUAGCUCAGUGGGUCUUCACACUGGCUGCAUGUGAGCAUCAACUGGAGAGCGUUUAAGACCACUGACACGCGAGCCCCAGCCAGGGCCAAUUAUAGCAGAUGCUCUGAGUAUGGAGGACAGGCUUUGCUACUUCAAACAGCCCCCAGAGAAUCCUAAUGUGCACCCAGGGCUGAGACCCACUGACCUGGAUCAAUGCUCCUGGUCAAUGCUGUUCACACUGCAACGUGCUGGAGGGUCACCUCCAGGAUCCUGUUUAAGGCGCAGCUUCUGAAUCAGCAGGUCUGGGGCGGAGCCUGCGAAUCUCCAUCUCUAACAAGCUCCCAGGUGCUGCUGCUGCCGUGGGGACCACAGUUUGAGUAGCAGGGGUGUUUUCCAGCCUUGCCUGAUGAUAAGAAUCACUUGUUUUUAUUAAUUAUACAAAUUCUAUGGAAAUAAAUGAAGGCCACUCAAAUGAGAACAAGCGAAGGCUAUUUAUUCGGAGCUUGCUCUAGCCAGGGAGUCAGCCACCACUGCUGGAGUUUAACAGAGACUCAAAGGCAGGCGGAGGGCGGGGAAAGGCCUAUAGAGGAUAAAAGAGAAGGCUCCAGAUGUGCCCAGAUUGGAGGCCAGCAGCUUGG